AGAUCACCUUUUUGUCCUUUGCUAAUAUAAUUUUGAUUUUUUUUCUUUCAGCUUUAUUGCUAAUAGCAGUGGUCCAAAUGGAAGACACUAUAAGUUUUAAGAUAGUGUUUUGCAACUAUAAAUUACUUUAAAUGAACCUUCAGUGAACUGCUUCUAUUUUAUUCCAUUGGCUACGUGGGAAGCUGGCAGCCUGUGACCUGGGAGAGGGCCCUCAUCAGACCAUGAUGGCAGCCUCCAGAACUGUGAGACACAGAUUCCCACUGCUUAUACCCUGCCCCUGAGACAAUGCAGCUGCAGCAGCCCGAGCACCUACCCCAAGGCCAAGCCAUUCUUCUCGCACCCUCUGACCAGAUAAAGCAAAACGCCUGCCGUCCAGAGUCCUGAACAUCUGCAAAGCUCCAGUGCAAGUGUAGCCUUCUUGGUGAACCUUCCCUUGCCCACGGAAGUGUGGCGUCGCUGUUCUCUCUGGGGUCCACUGCACUAUGUCUACACCCACCUGCUGACUGUGGAGCGCGUACCCCAGGGUAUAGAAAUUAGAGCAACAUGGGCACUGAUUCCAUCACCACGGCUUCCACUUGUCGUAGCUAUCAGAAAUCAAGACGCUGCUUCAGUAGCAUGUGGGACUAUUUCCAAACCAAGCGCUUUUGACAGACCCCGUGGUUCCCAGUUGGAUUACAUUAACUUGCUGUUGACCUAUUUGCAUUUCAGCAACUAGAUCCUCCCUUCCUAAUAAUUCAGCUGCAUUAAUUUUUCCAUAUUCGGGGUAGUGAGUAUUCUCUCUCUAACCUCAGUAUUUGGGGUUUGUGAAAUAAGAUAUUCAUAUUAAAACCACCAAGAAUUUGUGGUUACAUGGCUUUCAGUAUACCAGGAAUGGAGCUCACAUUUUUCAUGUAUCUCUGCCCAUGUUGUUUGUAUACCUCUACUUGGUCAUGUCUAAAAUAAAUUUUCUGAAAUCUAGGUAUUCAUCAUAGACCAUAAAGC
ensembl:lincRNA uncharacterized LOC102010538